AAAGGAAAAGGAGGGGAGCCAGCAAGCAGGCAGGAAAGAAGGAAGGAAGGAAGUGAAAGGAAAAGGGGAAAUAAAAGGGGGGAAGGUGUAAGAGGGAAACCAAGGGAAGAAGAAAAGGAAGAAAGAAAGCAAAAAGAGAAAAAGAAAGAAGGAAGGAAGGGAAGGGAAGGAAGGGAAGGAAUGAAGAAGGGAAGGAUAGAAGGAAGAGAAAGGAAAGGGGGAAAUAAAAGGGGGAAGAAUAUGGAGGAA